rnacentral:sRNA from 1 species
GGUAAACUGAGGUACAGUUGUGCAUAUGAAUGGCAUUUUCAGUAAAGAGGUUUUGCGCACCGAUAAAUUCGUUGCAUACCACUUCUCUGCCGAUCCUUAUUCUUGAGUGCCUCAAGCAGUAACGAUUUCAGUUUGUCUCUAUAUCGCCAAAAGGCGAUUUAAACAGUCCUAAGGAAAUAUGCAAGAUGGCAAAGAUUAAAGGUCAAGUGAAGUGGUUUAAUGAAUCUAAAGGUUUUGGUUUUAUCACUCCGGCCGAUGGUAGUAAAGACGUGUUUGUUCAUUUCUCCGCUAUUCAGGGUAACGGUUUUAAAACACUAGCCGAAGGUCAGAAUGUUGAAUUUGAAAUACAAGAUGGACAAAAAGGUCCUUCAGCAGUUAAUGUGACUACUUUAUAGUUCAAAUUAAUGAAGUAAUAUUUCU